GACGAACGCUGGCGGCGUGCUUAACACAUGCAAGUCGAACGGAAAGGCCCUGCUUUUGUGGGGUGCUCGAGUGGCGAACGGGUGAGUACACGUGAGUAACCUGCCCUUGACUUUGGUAUAACUUCAUGAAACUGGGGCUAAUACCGUAUAGGAGCUCCUGCUGCUUGGUGUGGGUUUGAAAGUUUCGGCGGUUGGGGAUUGACUGGCGGCUUAUCAGCUUGUUGGUGUGGUAGUGGCUUACCAAGGCUUUGACGGGUAGCCGGCCUGAGAGGGUGACCGGCGAAAAUGGGACUGAGAUACGGAACAGACGGCUACGGGAGGCAGCAGUGGGGAAUAUUGCACAAUGGGCGGAAGCCUGAUGCAGCAACGCCGCGUGCGGGAUGAAGGCCUUCGGGUUGUAAAACGCUUUAGCAUGUGACGAAGAGUGAGUGACGGUAAUGGGUAAAGAAGCACCGGCUAACUACGUG
rnacentral:rRNA from 1 species